rfam:Angiostrongylus cantonensis strain Taiwan genome assembly, scaffold: ACAC_scaffold0003046
GCACGGAUGGCCGAGUGGUCUAAGGCGCCAGACUCAAGGUUACACUUGCCGCGCGGAAGCGGUUGGGCAUUCUGGUACUCGUAAGGGUGCGUGGGUUCAAAUCCCACUCCGUGCA